rnacentral:rRNA from 1 species
GCUGGCGGCGUGCCUAACACAUGCAAGUCGAGCGGGGACAUUGCGACGGAUAUGAAAUUUUCGGAUGGAUAUGAAGAUGUAAUGUUCUAGCGGCGGACGGGUGAGUAACGCGUGAGCAACCUGUCCCUUACAGGGGGAUAACACAGCGAAAGUUGUACUAAUACCGCAUAAGACCACAGAGCGACAUCGCUUAGGGGUCAAAGGAGCAAUCCGGUAAGGGGUGGGCUCGCGUCCGAUUAGAUAGUUGGUGAGGUAACGGCCCACCAAGUCGACGAUCGGUAGCCGACCUGAGAGGGUGAUCGGCCACAUUGGGACUGAGACACGGCCCAAACUCCUACGGGAGGCAGCAGUGGGGAAUAUUGGGCAAUGGGGGAAACCCUGACCCAGCAACGCCGCGUGAGGGAAGAAGGUUUUCGGAUCGUAAACCUCUGUCCUUGGUGAAGAGAAAGAGACGGUAGCCAAGGAGGAAGCCCCGGCUAACUACGUGCCAGCAGCCGCGGUAAUACGUAGGGGGCGAGCGUUGUCCGGAAUGAUUGGGCGUAAAGGGCGCGUAGGCGGCCCGGUAAGUCUGGAGUGAAAGUCCUGCUUUUAAGGUGGGAAUUGCUUUGGAUACUGUCGGGCUUGAGUGCAGGAGAGGUAAGUGGAAUUCCCAGUGUAGCGGUGAAAUGCGUAGAGAUUGGGAGGAACACCAGUGGCGAAGGCGACUUACUGGAC